UAGGGAAUCUUCGGCAAUGGGGGGAACCCUGACCGAGCAACGCCGCGUGAGUGAAGAAGGUUUUCGGAUCGUAAAGCUCUGUUGUUAAGGAAGAACGAGUGUGAGAAUGGAAAGUUCAUACUGUGACGGUACUUAACCAGAAAGGGACGGCUAACUACGUGCCAGCAGCCGCGGUAAUACGUAGGUCCCGAGCGUUGUCCGGAUUUAUUGGGCGUAAAGCGAGCGCAGGCGGUUUGAUAAGUCUGAAGUUAAAGGCAGUGGCUCAACCAUUGUAGGCUUUGGAAACUGUUUAACUUGAGUGCAGAAGGGGAGAGUGGAAUUCCAUGUGUAGCGGUGAAAUGCGUAGAUAUAUGGAGGAACACCGGUGGCGAAAGCGGCUCUCUGGUCUGUAACUGACGCUGAGGCUCGAAAGCGUGGGGAGCGAACAGG
rnacentral:rRNA from 1 species